CGGCCGCGGUGACCGAGGCAGAGUCCCGGGAUACCGGCGUCGCUGGCGGGAUCUGGCCCGGUGGCGCCGGGGUGUGAGCGCGAUGCCCGCUCGCCGGAGAUUGGAGGUGCAGGCUACUGAGGGAGGUGGCUGUCGCCGUGCCACCCGGUGCCGGCCGGGGUGUGGGGCCUCCCGGACGGGUCGACCAGCAGCCACCGGUGCCCCUCCGUCCCCGGGAGGGGGUGGGGGGCCGCCGCGGGGGAAUGGGAGAGGGAGUUCGUCCCGUGCCUGGCCGUCGUCCCGGGGGCGGUCCGGUGGUCGGGCCUUCCGCGUCGCCGAUCCCCUUUCCGCGCCCCGCUCCGGAGGUGGGCGACCGGCCGGGGCCUUGCGGGGGAGGCCCGUGGAGGGCGCGACGGGCUCGGCCGCCGGGCUGGCCUUUUCCCCACUGGUCUUCCGAGUCGACCGGCUCUGGCGGUGGGGACCGGGCCCGGUCCUCGGAUGCCUCCUCCUCCGUGGCAGUUUUUUUUUCCAAGUCCCGCCCUGGAGAAGAGCGUGGACCGGCCCCGGGAGCCCUCGAGGGCGGGCCGGGGAGGGCGUCCCCGGCCCGGACGCGUGCCCGGGGUGGGUCCGGGCCGUCGGACCGGACUUCUCUCUCCGAGUUUCGCGGGUCGCGUCUUUGUCCGGAGGCGGGAGGGGGCCGGCUCGAGGCGCCUCCGCGGAAUUCUUUUCUAAGUCCUGACCCGGCGACUCAGAGGGAGGGACCGACCGGUCCCGGCCCGCGCGGGCGGCCCGGGGAGGCUGUCCCCGGCUCCCCCUGCCGCCACGCUUCUGGGGUCGACCAGAUGGCCCCGGGAGCUCCGGGCCUGGUGGCGAUGGGGUCGUGCUUGGGGUCUGGUGGCCGUGGCCGUGAUCCAGGGGUUCCCCUGGUGAUCCGUGGGUGGGCCCCGUCUCCGGGCGCGGCGAUUCUUGCCCCCGAAUGGGUGGUUUUGUGCCGCCAGAUAAGUGCUGACACGCUCUGCUCGGGUGACAGUCGCCCGAGAGCUUCCGGGUGCCUGGAUGCGUGUGCGGGGAGGGCUCCGGGCUCUGGCCGAGAACCGGACGCCCGUUUCCACCCCCGCCGCUUGAGCCGCCCGCUGGGGCCUGCGCGCCGGCUCUUGUGCGUUCCAGGCGCCCCCACGACCGUGGUGCCACCUCCGGUCUCUGGUACCCGAGGGCGGCGGGGUUAGGGGCGCGGGGUCCUCUACCACGUGCACUCCCUGCCGCCGGCACCCGGGUGCGGUCGCGACUUACCCCAUCCCACCGGCUCCGUGCCAGUGCGUGUCAGGCGUUCUCGUCCUGGGGUCGUCGCCCGCGCUUGCUGGAGGAGGAGAGGGGUCGGUGAGGCUGAAGCAGGCUCCUCCGCUCGCUGUCCUCGCCGGCCUUCCCUUGCUCGGGGGUCCCUCGCGUUAUGCUGCCGACCGAUGUGGUGAUGCUGUGCUCUCCCGGGCCGGGCCUAAGCCGUGCCAGACGAGGGACGGACGUUCAUGGCGAACGGGACCGCUCUUCUCGCUCUGCCCGCGGGUCCCCUCGCCCGUUCUCCCCCGCUGCGAGUGGCGUGUGGGAGGCGGCAGGGGUGCGGAAUCCGGCCCGACCUCGCUCCCCCGCCCCGUGCCUCGUGGCGUGGGCGGUGUCGGGGUCUCCGUGACGCGGCGGAUGCUCCGCCUGUGCCUCUUGGCUGUGUCUCGCGGGCGGCCCUCCCCACGGUGGGGCGGGCCGUGUUGCCGCCGCGCCGCGCGCCUUCCCGGGCGCGUGAGCGCGUUCCCCAGGCCGUUGGCGGUGCCCCUGGAGCGUUCCAGGUCGUCCCUCAGGCGCCCGAGGCCGAGUGGCGGUGUCGUUCCCUGUUCCCGUCGGCCUCCUCAGGUAACCACUGCGCUGGUGUGUCUGAGGAGCGGGGGGGUCGAGUCGGUAAGGGAGGCGUGCCCCUCGUCCCCCUCGGGGGGGACGGGUGCCUCGUCGCCCCCCACGGCGUGCCGUGUGGGGGCGGGCAGGCUCGGGCGCGUGCCCGCGCGUUCCCCUUGCUGGGGUUUCCCCGCGGGUGUGGGAGUGACCGUGGCGGGCCGAGCCAGCGGCGUGGCGCUGGCUCUUUGGUUGGGAGGUGCUGUUUGAUCGGCACCUCCGUCCCAGUCUCUGCCUCCCUUGGUCUCGGCCUGAGGGGAGGCACUGACUUGGGGGCCGCACAGGGGCCUUUUAGAUCCCUAGCUAAGCCCAGUGUGGCCGGAGAUGGUGAGCCCGGGGCAGCGCGGGCUCGCGGCCCUGACCACGGACGCUCCGACUUGCUCUAGGCCUUACCUCUACCGCAGACCCCUCCUGCGUUGUGUGGCCAUGGUGUCUGUAAGCGCCUUGGUGGGCCCGAUGGCGGACGAUGGGCGGGGGCGACACGCCCUCGGUGAGAAAGCCUUCUCUAGCGAUCCGAGAGGGUGCCUUUGGGUACCGGACCCCCCAGCCGCCGCCCUCCUUUGCGCGUAGUAGCCACGGACGCCACCACCGUGGCGCGUGGGCAGAGCUGCUGUUUGCCUACC
ensembl:lncRNA